rnacentral:tRNA from 1 species
GGGGCUGUGGCUCAGUGGUUGAGCACUUGCCUCACGUGCAUGAGGCAUGGGGUUCGAUCCUCAGCAUCA